CCAGCCAGUAGAAAUAAUCUUCAGUUGACCAACUUAGCUAAAGACAUUAAUAACUUGUUUUAAGUUAUAUUAAAUUAAAUAUAUUAAUAUUGUUAAAUGAUUUAAGUAAUACUCUAUAUAGGAACUAUAAACUAUUGUUGUGAAACGAAUACUCAAGUCCACAUACAGUUUAAUCAUCUAUCUCAGCUCUUCAGCAAGUUUUACCAAAGAGACUGAACAUGCCAUUUGCCUUGUAUAAACUCCCACCUAAUUUUAUGUGAAUUUGUGCAUCAAAAACCCACCACCAAUAGGAAUGUGACACAUCCCCAUGCACACUAACUCCCCCUAUGCACUUGCAAAUUUUCAAUUUUCUCUGGUCACUGUAUUGUCCAGACAUGUUUAAAUUUCUCAUCUGUGUUCAAUUUAAUAAGGAAACUUUGAUUUUCAUUUUCUUUAGCUUUUGUUUCAAAAGCUUUAAUAUUUUAUCAUGACUUCUAGAAUGAUGGUACUUUAUACCUGGUCUUGAGUGUUGGACAUUGUUCUCACUCUAACCUUAUUUCUGCUGUGGCUUUUGGGGGCUCAUUAACUGUCAUGAUCAUAGCAACCAUUGCUCAGUGUGUUAUGGAUUUCCACAUGCUUCAUGCAUCUUCUACUUCUGUCUUGUCAGCUGAAUUUCUUUUUCCUUAAUUGGGAAUGAUCUGUUAGACUACAUCCUUCACCUACUUUGAUUUUGUAUUGCUCUACUGUUUGUUAAAUGACCUUAUCCAUUCCAUAUUUUAUUGGAUUUCAUUCUGAUAUGUUCAUUUCCUUCUCUUUUUGGGGACUGUGGCUUCUCUAGAACCCCUCCUUCAUUUGAGGUAUGCUCUCAUGUUUCUCCUACAGUGGACGUUAUGGACCAAGAGUUGUCCUUCUUGGGGUCCUUUCUCCACUUUUGUGAGCCUCUCAUCUAUGAAUUGUCAGGGUGACUAAACCAUGUCUUUCCUACUUUCUACAUUCCCUUACCGCCUCUCAAACCAGAUCUCCCCCUUCAAUGCUUCUCUCAUGGAUUGAGAUACAUUUUUUGUGGAGGCAGAUUUCCAAACAUUUGUACAUUGAGCUAAUGUCCACUACCCAUCAGUAUGUUCAACUUUCUCUCUAUUUAUCGGGCAUAUUCCCAUUCCUGCUUCUACUGGUGGUUUACUAGGUCACAUUCCAUUUAAUCUUUUCCACAGCCUUUCCUUGCUCCAACUGCAUUUGUGGCUUCUAUUAGGACAUUUUUUUUAUUUUUAGGCACUAACUAUACACUUCUAUGCUUAUUUACAAUCUUUAUGGGAAUUUACUUCUUGUUGGUGAGUCACCUCUCUCAGCCAGUCCUUAUUCUGUCAACAGAGUAGCCUCUGCACCCCCCAGAUCUUCUGUGGGGUUUACUUUUGGUUGGGCACUUUGCCACCCAUCUUUACUCCAGACUUUCUCGCUUACAGUCCUCUCUUGCUCUUCCUUCAGGUCUGACUUUCGUUUUUCUGAUCCAGACCUGGUUUUACCUAUUUCUUUAUACCUACUCCCUUAUUCGUCUCAUCCUUCUGGGUCCCAGAUUUACACACUACUAUCCUUCUUGGGCUCUCUUGUUGGCAGCUCUCUGACUGCCUUGACCUUGAUAUAAUUAUUAUUUGACUUUCCCUUCCCCUCACUAUUAUCCCUUCUCUUUUUUGGUUCACACUCUCUCACUUCUUCAAUGGUGAUUAACCUCCCUCUACUCUCAUGCAUGAAAUUUGCUCAGUCACUCACCCAUUGCACCAUUUCUGUGGCAUUAUGCUUAUAACAUUCUUCUCGUCCUUCCACUUUAUUUGUCUGUUGCAAUUGUUGGUAUGUCUUUUAUCAAUGGUUCUUCCACCUCCCAUUUCCUUCUGGUGGUAAUUCUGUGCACCACCUUUCUACCAUUCUUACCAGCCUGUUCAUCAAAGGAUUGUAGGUCUCAACCUUUCUUAGUUAUCGGGUGGCCAAGGUACUUUCCCAGAACCUCAUACUCAUUUUUCUGUACUGCUCCUUUGCUCUUCUCUGUCCUCCUUGCCCUGCUUCCUUGUGACUGAGAUCUUGUUAGGGUUUUUGCUCAAUUACAUACAUGCCCUAUUCGAGCUGUUGCUUUCCUGCCUUUUUUUUAAUGUCUUUUUUUUCUUUUGAAUUGUUCCUUCUUUCUUAUUUCCUACAUUUACCAUUGUUCUGAUGUCUAUCUUCUUAAUGCUUUUCACACCCUCUUCUAUUGCAUUUCUUUCCUUUCCCUGGACCAAUUCUUUCUUCCUUGGACUUGGACUGCUCUGGUGCAAACUGUACAUCUCUUCCAUAUCUGUACUGUUGGGCCAUCCAGACCUAGCUCAACUUCCGUCUCUUUCCCGGAACUCCUGUUUUCCAUGAACUUCAUUCCUUCUUCCUUUCCCAAGAUGGGUCCAUUGACCAACCUGGUGACAUUUUCAUCUCAGGAUAUUGAUGCUUGCAUUCUAUUCAUCGCCCUUUUCAUCCUCAUCCACCUCUUCUUCACUGGCCAUUGGAUGGACUUUUCCAGAUUGGCUUGUAAACUCUCUUCACACAUUCAUCUCCACCUCUGUAUCUUCUGGCUAUUUUAUUUCCUGACAAUUUUCUGCUUCUAUGGAUCGUAUUUCUUCCAUUUCCUCAUGUCUUUGAGUAGAAUGUGCACCAUUUCCCUUUCAUGACCCUUCUCUCAAUCGAUAGGAUCCUAUUAGGUGGCUAGUGUUGCCUCCCAGGAUAUACUUGCUCAAAAUCUUCAUCAAGACAGGAUAGUGGAAAGAGUUCAUACCAUCUGUAUUGGCUGUACAUGUGCCCACUAUGAGAUGGGGUGUUCUGCAAGAGCACUUGAGGUUUCCUCAUGAUAUAUAUAUAUUUCGAUCUAUAUCACAUUUCUUAUCUGAUCCAGACCAUACCUAUUUUAUGGACUAUCAUGGAAAAAGCCAGCACCUGAGCAUUGUUUCUGCCAACUUCUCUGGCUUGUACUUGCUGGCUUUCAUGAUCACCCAUUGAACUGUCUCUGGUAAAAAACCUUUCUGGACUAAACAACCGAUUGAGAUCUGAGCAUAUUCUCUGCAUUUUCCCUAUACAAAUUCUCCCCCGCCUCAUAUAGUGAAAUUUGGGAGGCUCUUGCCACUUACCAGUUCCUAGCUCCUGGAGUGGUGUACUAAGGGGAAUCCUCAUUGAUUGGGAUCUAACCACUGGGUCUAGAAUAAGGAGUCCCAUUAUGGUGAGAAGUGGGGCUGUGGUGACACCGAGAGUGUAGUGCGGGUCACCCCACAUAAAAAUCUCUGAUAAGUCACUAUUGCAAACUACACAUGGACUGAUGAUACAACUCCCUAUACCAGUCCAUUCAAUAUACCUAUAUCUCACAAGUUCUCCUCUUUUAACCAGUGUCUGUUCAAUAGUGUCAAGGUGAACACACUGUUAUCGGUCAAUACUAAAUCUCAAAUGUACCCUAUUCCCGCAUCUGGCAAGGGGCUUAUAAUGACUGACAGUAAAGUUGAAGUGAGCACACCAUACAUAUCUGUAAUGUAUCUCUCACAUACCCUACUCCCACAGCUGGAAGGGGCCCGUAGAGAUUGACGGUUCAGUAGUGUUGUAUGUAACUAUCCAUGCUGAAACAGAUUCAUACAGUGCUCUCCUCCUGCAGCUGGUUUGGGACCUGUAGAGACUGACGGUAGUGAAGGUGAGCAUGGAUACUUAUCACAAGUGCCCUUCUCCUAUAUCUGUCCAGUCUAAUGGUAGAAGAGAUGAGCACACAAUGUAUGGUUUGAAUGAGCCCCAAUCUCACUGCAUAUAUUGUCUGUCUGACAUCUUGUGUGCAAGUACUCGGACAGCAAGGUACAGAUUCUGUCCACCCAAGUGACACAAAUGUGGCUUAUUUGCCUCUCUUUUUUUCAUCUUCAGGCAAAGAGCAUACCCUGGAGGAUACGAGAUGCAGUCUCCCAUGGGUGUGUCCCUGUCAUGAGGUGGCACACCCCAUGGCCUUCCUUCAGACACCUUCUGAAGAGGGUUCAUUUAGGUAAUCUUUCACCAGUACCUCCACCAUCUCAACGUUGGAUUCUAGCUAAACUUUGGACAUUGGUAAAGCUACUUCUUUGAAAACAAUGGAAGGUCAAAAAGUUUCCAAAGUGACACUACCCAAAGCAACAGUCAAGCCCAUAUUGAAUCAUCCUGAUUCUGAUCUUCGAUGGAAACAGCUAGAGAAAGAACUCGAAGAAGCUCGCAAAGAAGCAGAAAACUAUCGAGUGCAGCUUCAACAAAAAGAACAGGAAGCAGAGCAGUACCGAAAACAACUUGAACAAAUUCGCACAAAUAAAUUACAAUAGUAUUGUACUGUCUGGUAAUUUCUCAUUCUGUGUAUUACACACAUAUAUACACACACACACACACACACACACACACACUAUAUUCAUCAUCAUCUUGCUGUACAUAUUUAUACAAAUUAUUACUGAAUUAAACUAUUAUGUUUUUUCUAUUG
rnacentral:lncRNA from 1 species